rnacentral:rRNA from 1 species
GACGAACGCUGGCGGCGUGCCUAAUACAUGCCAGUCGAACGCUGAAGGAGGAGCUUGCUUCUCCGGAUGAGUUGCGAACGGGUGAGUAACGCGUAGGUAACCUGCCUGGUAGCGGGGGAUAACUAUUGGAAACGAUAGCUAAUACCGCAUAACAGUAGAUGUUGCAUGACAUUUGCUUAAAAGGUGCAAUUGCAUCACUACCAGAUGGACCUGCGUUGUAUUAGCUAGUUGGUGAGGUAACGGCUCACCAAGGCGACGAUACAUAGCCGACCUGAGAGGGUGAUCGGCCACACUGGGACUGAGACACGGCCCAGACUCCUACGGGAGGCAGCAGUAGGGAAUCUUCGGCAAUGGACGGAAGUCUGACCGAGCAACGCCGCGUGAGUGAAGAAGGUUUUCGGAUCGUAAAGCUCUGUUGUAAGAGAAGAACGAGUGUGAGAGUGGAAAGUUCACACUGUGACGGUAUCUUACCAGAAAGGGACGGCUAACUACGUG